ACCCCCUGCUGCUGACCUCUGCGCAGGCGGAACAUCUGCCGAGCCGGCGCCGGAGCGGUAGGGCACGCUGAGGGGAUGCUCCACCGUGGCAUGCGAACGCGGACUGUGUCAGGCAUGAGAACGCGGGAGCCCUGCGGCUGAGGAAAGCAGACGUGCGGGGAGCCAAGCCCAGACUCUCAAGAGGGUAGAAAUGGCUACUAGAUAAGGAAACAGGAUGAGAUUGACGUGUUUAACGUUACAGAAUAUGGAAGUUGGGCGCCACAACUUGGCUGUACCACAUUUAAACUCAAGUCUAUUAGGGGCUUGAUCCACUUUCUUUUCUCUACACCACAUUGUUUCCGUAUAAGCAACUUAUGUGUCGGGAGAGGACCUGCUCGUGCUUUUAUGUGUAAGCAUGAUAUCAAACCAAGAAAAAAUAAAGGAAACAAAAAAAAAAACCCAAGGAUAAAACUGAUAACUUAGACACACAAUUUGUGCCUUUCAUGUGACAGAAGACACUAUAAAGUCGAACAACUGGUAGUGAAACAGAGAAACAAUUGUAGUAAAUCACAAGCAAGUUAAUAUUUAUAUUCGAUUACCAUCCUUAGCGUAUGUUUUAUUUGCAUAAGAAAAUAUAAAGAGCUCUUACAAAUUAUUAAGAAAAAGAUAACACCCACUCUUUUAAAAAGUGAAGGGCGGACCAGUCGCGGUGACUCACGCCUGUAAUCCCAACACUUCAGAAGGCUGAGGCUGGAGGAUCACCUGAGGUCGGGUGACCAACACAGCGGAAACCCCCUCUCUACUAAAAAUACAAAUAUUAGCUGGGCGUGGUGGCGGGCACCCAUAGUCCCAGUUACUAGGGAGGGUGAGGUAUGAGAAUCGCUUGAACCCAGGAGGGAGAAGUUGCAGUGAGCCAAGAUUGCACCACUGCACUCAAGUCUGGGCGACAGAGUGAGACCCUGUCUCAAAAAAAAAAGUUUAGCCCCGGGCGCGGUGGCUCACGCCUGUAAUCCCAGCACUUUGGGAGGCCGAGGCGGGCGGAUCACCUGAGGUCGCGAGUUCUAGACCAGCCUGAACAACUUGGAGAAACCCCGUCUCUACUAAAAAUAACAAAAUUAGGCUGGGCGCGGUGGCUCACGCCUGUAAUCUCAGUACUUUGGGAGGCUGAGGCGGGCGGAUCACGAGGUUAGGAAAUCGAGACCAUCCUGGCUAACACGGUGAAACCCGUCUCUACUAAAAAUACAAAAAAAAAUUAGCCGGGCGUGGUGGCGGGCGUCUGUAGUCCCAUCUACUCGGGAGGUUGAGGCAGGAGAAUGGCGUGAACCCGGGAGGCGGAGCUUGCAGUGAGCCGAGAUCUCUCCACUGCACUCCAGCCUGGGCGACAGAGCGAGACUCCGUCUCAAAAAACAAAAACAAAGCAAAAAAUAUAUGUAUACAAAAUUAGGCCGGGCGUGGUGGCUCUGGCUCACGCCUCUAAUCCCAGCACUUUGGGAGGCUGAGGCUGGUGGCUCACCUGAGGUGAGGGGUUCAAGGCUAGCUUGACCAACAUGGUGAAACCCCAUCGCUAGUAAAAACACAAAAAUUAGCCAGGCGUGGUGGUGCGCGCCUGUAAUCCCAGCACUUUGGGAGACCCAGGCGGGCGGAUCAUUUGAGGUUAGGAGUUUGAGACCAGCCUGGCCAGCAUGGUGAAACCCCGUCUCUACUAAAAAUACAAAAAAUUAGGCCGGAUGCAGUGGCUCAUUCCUGUAAUCCCAGCACUUUGGCAGGCCUAGGCGGGUUGAUCACUUGAGGUCAGGAGUUCAAGACCAGCCUGCACAACAUUGGCGAAACCCCGUCUCUACUAAAAAUACAAAAUUAGCCAGGCUUGGUGGGGAGCGCCUGUAAUCCCAGCUACUUGGGAGGCUGACGGAGGAGAAUCACUUGAACCCGGAAGGUGGAGGUUGCCGUGAGCUGAGAUCACGCCAUUGCACUCCAACCUGGCAUUGCACUCCAGCCUGGGCGACAGAGAAAAACAAAAUACAAAAAAUUAGCUGGGCAUGGAGGUGGGCGCCUGUAAUCCCAGCUACUUGGGAGGCUGAGGCAGGAGAAUUGCUUGAACCUGGGAAGCGAAGGUUGCAGUGAGCCGAGUGCAGCUGCACUCCAGCCUGGGCAGCAGAGCAAGACUCCGUCUCAAAAAAAUAAAAAAUAAAAAGUCAAGGGCAUGAACAAGCUAGCCGGGUGUGUGUGUGUAUACAUACAUAACAUAUGGGGGGAUUUAAUAAUUAUAUGAAAAAUUAUCGCACCUCACUAGAAAUCAGAAAAACUUAAACAGUAAUAUACCACUUUCAAAUAGCAGAUUGACAAAGAUUUUAAAAGACCAAAAACCUGGAUGAGGAUAAGGAAUUGGCCGGGCGCAGUGGCUCACGCCUGUAAUCCCAACACUUUGGGGAGGCCAAGGUGGGUGGAUCGUUUGAGGUCAGGAGUUCGAGACCAUCCUGCCAGCAUGGUGAAAUUCCGUCUCUACUGAAAAUACAAAAUUAGCCGGGCAUGGUGGCGGGUGCUUGUAAUCCCAGCUACUCCGGAGGUUGAAGCAGGAGAAUCGCUUGAACCCGGGAGAUGGAGAUUGCAGUGAGCCGAGAUUGGGCCACUGCACUCCAGCCUGGGCAAUAGGAGGGAAACCCUGCCUCAAAAAAAAAAAAAGAAAAAGGAUAUAAGGAAUAGGCAUUUAUUUGCAUUAACCAUAUCAAGAAUGAAACUCUUGAUAUGUGCAAGGCUUUCUGGAAGACAGUUUGGCUUUCAUAAAAAUGUCAAAGCCUUUAAGACACCCUUUAAGCAGUUGUCUUACUCCUUGGAAUUUAUUUUAAUAAAAUAAUAGGAGGCCAGGCACUGUGGCUCACGCCUGUAAUCCCAGCACUUUGGGAGGCCGAGGCGGGUGGAUCACAAGGUCAGGAGUUGGAGACCAGCCUGACCAAGAUGGUGAAACCCCAUCUCUACUAAAACUGCAAAAAUUAGGCUGGGCGUGGUGGCUCACGCCUGUAAUACCAGCAUUUUGGGAGGCCGAGCCAGGUGGAUCAGUUUAGGUCAGGAGUUCAAGACCAGCCUGGCCAACAUGGUGAAACCCCGUCUCUACUAAAAAUACAAAAAAUUAGCCAGGCGUGGUGGUGGGCGCCUGUCAUCCCAGCUACUUGGGAGGCUGAGGCAGGAGAAUCGCUUGAACCCUGGAGGUGGAGGUUGCGGUGAGCCGAGAUCAAGCCAUUGCACUCCAGCCUGGGCAACAAGAGUGAGACUCCGUCUCAAAAAAAACAACAAUAAAAUAAAAAUAAAUAAAACUACAAAAAUUAACCAGGUGUGGUGGUGGGCACCUGUAAUCCCAGCUACUUGGGAGGCUGAGGCAGGAGAAUCGCUUGAACCCAGGCAGCAGAGGUUGCAGUGAGCCGAGAUCACACCAUUGCACUCCAACCUGGGCAACAGAGCAAGCCUCCAUCUCAAAGAAAAAUAAAUGAUAAUAAUAAUAGGAAAGGUGUCCAACAGUUUAUGAAGCUGUUCAUUGAUAACUUCUUUAAAACCCCACACAAAAAAAUAGGAUGGUCCGAGUGCAGUGAUGUUUUCAACUAAUUGAUGACAACUGGUUAGAGAUUUCUUUGUUCCUUCUCCACUCCCACUGCUUCACUUGACCAGCCUUAAAAAAAAGAAAAUGAAAGAAGAAAACCACAAAAAAAAGAGAAACAACCUAAAUGUCUAUAAUAAAUUGACAAAGUAAAUUAUAUUACAUCCAUAGAGUGGAAUAUGAAGCCAUUAACAAUGGUAUUUAUUAAAAGAUGGUCACAUGAAAAAAUGCUCACAGCAUACUAUUAAGAAAAAUGGGCUGGGCGCGGUGGCUCACGCCUGUAAUCCCAGCACUUUGGGAGGCCAAGGCAGGCAGAUCACAAGGUCAGGAGUUUAAGACCAGCCUAACCAACAUGGUGAAACCCCAUCUCUACUAAAAAUACAAAAAUUAGCCGGGUGUGGUGGUGUGCACCUGUAAUACCAGCUGCUCAGGAGGCUGUGGCAGGAGAAUAGCUUAAACCCGGGAGACAGAGGUUGCAGUGAGCCAAGAUUGAGCCACUGCAUUCCAGCCUGGGCAACAGAGUGAGACUCAGUCUCAAAAAAAAAAAAAAAAAAGAAAGAAAAAAAGAAAAAUGAGAGGUAGAUUACAAAACUGUAUGUAUAAUAUCCUAUUUUUGUCAAAUAAAAAAGUAUAAUCAAAGGAAAAAUUUUGACAGACUAGAAACAAAAUGUUAACAAUGCUUAUUCCUAGGUGGCAGACUAAUAGAAGAUCUUUAUUAUUCAUACCUGCUAAGAGCAUAUAUUACUUUUGUUUGAGAUGGAGUCUUGCUAUCAGCCAGGCUGGAGUGCAGGGACGCGAUCUGGGUUCACUGCAACCUCUGCCUCCUGGAUUCAAGCGAUUCUCCUGCCUCAGCCUCCCGAGUAGCUGGAAUUACAGGCAUCUACCACCAUGCCUGGCUAAUUUUUGUAUUUUUGGUAAAGACCGGGUUUUACCAUGUUGGCCAGGCUGGUCUCGAACUCCUGACCUCAGGUGAUCCACCCAUCACGUCCUAUCAAAGUGCUGGGAUUACAGGCGUGAGCCACCGUUCCUGGCCUACUUUUCUAAUUAUAGAAAGAUAAAAAGCUACAUCUGUGCCCACUCUGAGGGGACUACAAAAAAUUUUAAGAAAAAUUUUAAGAAAAAAAGGUACAGCCAGCUGCAUUGGCUCACGCCUGUAAUCCCAGCACUUUGGGAGGCGGAGGCGGGUGGAUCACAAGGUCAGGAGUUCGAGACCAGCCUGACCAACAUGGUGAAACCCCGUCUCUACUAAAAAUACAAAAAUUAGCCGGGUAUGGUGGCGCAUGCCUGUAAUCCCAGCUACUCAGGAGGCUGAGGCAGGAGAAUCACUUGAACCCGAGAGGCGGAGGUUGCAGUGAACCGAGAUCAUGCCACUGCACUCCAGCCUGGGCAACAGAGGGAGACUUCGUCUAAAAAAACACACAAAAAACAAACAAACCAAAAAAAAACAGGUUGGGGGUGGUGGGUUGGUGUCACCAUGUUCAGCUUAGUUUUGAAAUUUUUAUUUUAUUUUUUAUUUUUAUUUAUUUAUUAUUUUGAGACAGGGUCUUACUCUGUUGCCCAGGCUGGAGUGCAGUCAUGUGAUUUCAGCUCACUGCAGUCAUCACCUCCCAGGCUCAAGGGAUCCUCCUUUCUCAGUCUCCUGAAUAUCUGGGCCUACAGGCACAUGCCACCACACUCAGCGAAUUUUUUUUGUAUUUUUGGUAGAGACGGGUUUUUCCAUAUUUCCCAGGCUGGUCUCAAACUCCUGAGCUCAAGCAAUCCUCCCCGCUCAGCCUCCCAAAGUGCUGGAAUUACAGGCAUGAGCCACCACACCCGGCCAAAUUCUUACUUUCUUUUGGAGAUGUAGAUCUCUGUUACCUAAGCUGGUCUGAAACUCCUGGCCUCAUGCUGUCCUCCUGCCUUGGCCUCCGAAAGGGCUUGGAUAAUAGGUGUGAGCCACUGCACCCAGCACUUCAGGAGUUUUUAUAUUAACUGCUGGAGAAUUUACUACAUGCUUCUUUUUAUUUAAUUUAAUUUAUUUUUUCUUUUAUUUAUUUAUUUAUUUAUUUAUUUAUUUUUGUAGAGACAGGGUCUUGUUGCCCAGGCUGGUCUCAAACUCCUGAGGUCAAGUAAUCCUCCUGCCUCAGCCUCCCAAAGUGCUAGAAUUAAAGGCAUGACCUACCACACCCAGACUUGCUACAUGCUUCUUAAUCCAAAGAGAUGCAUGGGUUGACAAGUAUUCCGCCCUGCUCCAGUUUUGGGUGGCCCAGUUUCCCUAAUUGGCACUUCCACCUCUGUGCCUCUCCCUCUGUACUAGAAGGUAUAUGCAAGAACGCACAGCAUGAUCACAAUUACCAGCAAAAUUAAAAAAAAAUUUUUCCUAAUAUGUGACUUUCAAAACGCUGCCUCUAUAAAUGACAUUUAUUAUUUUAAACCUACAGCAAGAAUGUAAACAUGUAAAUUCUUGUAGGUAAGGUGAAGAAUAUAUUUUGUAGUGUUUCAAAAGAGUGCUGUAUUUCAGUAGGUUGUAUCCUUUGUCUCUAGAAAUGGAAAAGAAUACAGGGAACCCUGGAGGUGUAGUUGAUUCCCUGCAUCUUGUUAAAGACUGGGUGACACAAGAAGAAACCCAGUCCAGUGCCGGGCUACUUUGCUCCUUCCUGAUCCUAUGUAAAAUGAACAUGUGGGACCAUGGUUAGGAGUAUUCUGUUUGUUAUGUUCUCUAGAUAUGACAACAUACACUGCAACCCCAACUUCCUGUUUCUGUCUAAUACACUCUGGAGUGAAAGGAAU
rnacentral:lncRNA from 1 species